ACCACAUUUCCAUUGUUUUUCUUGUGAUUUAAGACUAAAAAAUAAAUAAACAGAUUGAUAUAUGUAUAUAUAUAUUUUUUUUCCAAGGUCUUCAUAGGAACAUAGCUGUGGAAUCCUCGGAUCAUUCAGGAGGACCGAGGCUGCCGCACCCACCAUCCGGCUUCCUCGAUUCCCACUAUGGGUAGCUGUUUAAUACAUUAGCAUUAGGUAUCUGUUUAAAACAUCAGGUUCCUGGCAGCUAUGGUGCCCACUGUACUCGCAAGCGGGUGCCAUCUUUAAAUACCCGACUCCCAAGGUAUAUUUACGUUGCGUGGUCAGGAGGAGGAGAAGUGUGUCACUCAACUAAAUCUGCUACUGUAUCACAAAUAGCUUGUACUAUUUGUAAUAUUGGAGUGUUUUUAUUUGGUAGAUGCACUUUUGGGCGCCUAGGCACUAGGUCUGAGUUUACUACCCUGUAACCUCCAUAAAAGGAGAACUC